rnacentral:rRNA from 1 species
GUCCCAGCCGCCGCGGUAAUACGGAGGAUGCAAGCGUUAUCCGGAUUCAUUGGGUUUAAAGGGUGCGCAGGCGGGGCAAUUAGUCAGUGGUGAAAUCCUGCGGCUUAACCGUAGAACUGCCAUUGAUACUGUUGCCCUUGAGUAUAGUUGAGGUGGGCGGAAUAUGUAAUGUAACGGUGAAAUGCAUAGAUAUUACAUAGAACACCAAUUGCGAAGGCAGCUCACUAAGCUAUCACUGACGCUGAGGCACGAAAGCGUGGGGAGCGAACAGGAUUAGAUACCCUGGUAGUCCACGCCGUAAACGAUGAUCACUCGUUGUUGGCAAUACAUCGUCAGCGACUGAGCGAAAGCAUUAAGUGAUCCACCUGGGGAGUACGAUCGCAAGAUUGAAACUCAAAGGAAUUGACGGGGGCCCGCACAAGCGGAGGAACAUGUGGUUUAAUUCGAUGAUACGCGAGGAACCUUACCUGGGCUUAAAUGCAGAACGUCGCCCUGAGAAAUCGGGGUUCCCUUCGGGGCGAACUGCAAGGUGCUGCAUGGCUGUCGUCAGCUCGUGCCAUGAGGUGUCGGGUUAAGUCCCAUAACGAGCGCAACCCCUAUCGUUAGUUGCCAGCGGAUAAUGCCGGGGACUCUAACGAAACUGCCAGUGUAAACUGUGAGGAAGGUGGGGAUGACGUCAAGUCAGCACGGCCCUUAUGUCCAGGGCUACACACGUGUUACAAUGGCCGGUACAGAGGGCAGCUACCUGGUGACAGGAUGCAAAUCUCGAAAUCCGGUCUCAGUUCGGAUCGAAGUCUGCAACUCGACUUCGUGAAGGUGGAUUCGCUAGUAAUCGCGCAUCAGCCACGGCGCGGUGAAUACGUUCCCGGGCCUUGUACACACCGCCCGUCAAGCCAUGGAAGCUGGGGGUACCUGAAGUCUGUAACCGUAAGGAGCGGCCUAGGGUAAAACUAGUGACUGGGGCUAAGUCGUAACAAGGUAACCAAUCAG